GGCUCGGUCGGGCUGUCCGCCUCCGGGUGAGUACGGCUUGGCUGGGUCUUUCCUUCUGGGGAAUCAGCGUGCUCUUCAUUGAGUGCGCUGGGGAUCCAGAACUUUUACUUUGAAAAAAUUAGAGUGUUUAAAGCAGGCUUUUGCUUGAAUACAUUAGCAUGGAAUAAUAGAAUAGGACUU
rnacentral:rRNA from 1 species